AGGCAACACAACUUUGUUACUCACAGAGGAUGAAGAAAAGGGAGACAAUGAAGAAUCCAUGGAGGAAAGGAGAAAAGAAGACAGAGAAAAUAUAGUGCUAUGGUUUGAAUGACCUCCAGAAGUCAUGGGACGAAACUUAAUUGCAAAUGUGAUUGUGUUACAACGUGGAGUCUUUAGGAGGUGAUUAGGUCAGGAGUGUGCAGCCCUCCAGGAUGGGAUUAAAGUCCUUAUAAAAGAACUUGAAGAAAUUGGGUUGCGACCUUUGUCCCUUCCCCCAAGUGAGGACACAUUUGUCACCUCCAGAGGAUGCAGCAACAAGGUGUCAGCUCAGAAGCAGAGAGCAGCUCUUACCAGGCACCAAUCCUGCCAAUGCCUUGAUCUUGGACUUCCAAGUAUCCAGAACUGUGAGAAACAAAUUUCUAUUUUUUAUAAAUUACCUCUUCUCAGAUAUUUUGUUAUAGCAGCACAAACAAAGAUACGUAGUCACUGUUCACGUAGGCUGUAUGUUUAUGGAGUUGGUGUUGUUGCAGUCAACCAAAUCAGAUCUCUAAAGAAUAAGUCUACAGAAUGACAGAAUGCUGCAUUUAUUUUCUUCUAGAGACAUUCUCUCCUCAGGUGUCCCAAGUUCUUAGAUGACCACUUUGAAUUCUGUCAGUUUGACGAUUUUUCCUCCUCAACUUGUGGAAAAUUCACAUGUCACCAAUACAUCAUGAUCAUGAAAGGAUUCACACAUCCCUGCAUUAUGUGGUUCAGAGACCCAGGGAGAGUUAUAGAGCACAGACUCUUUCAAAAAACAAACAAACAAACAAACAAACAAAACACAAGAAAGCCAAUAUAGUGUUUAUAUUUAUUAAAUAUUUAUUAAAGGUAAAGGAUUGCCUUUUAUUCUGAUAUUAUGUCUUUCCUAAAUUUUGCUGUUACUAUAUAUUUUAUGAAAUGAUGGCUACAAAAGAUAGUUGCUUUGUAAAAUUGUACAUGGCAAAAUAAAAAGUUUCCACCCCUA
rnacentral:lncRNA from 10 species